GUGAAUUUAGUUUUAACAAAAACAUUUAUUCUGCAAAUACACGAUAAAGGUUUAAAUCCUUUAAUUCACA
rnacentral:tRNA from 1 species